rnacentral:rRNA from 1 species
UACAGAGGAGCCAAGCGUUGUCCGGAUUGACUGGGCGUAAAGCGCACGCAGGCGGGUGUGCGCGUGGGGGGGGAAAUCUGGCCGCUUAACGGCCAGGCGCCAUCCCAUACGGCACGCCUGGAGUGAUGCAGAGGUCGAUGGAAUUGCCGGUGUAGUGGUGAAAUGCGUAGAGAUCGGCAGGAACACCCAGGGGGAAACCAGUCGACUGGGCAAGUGCUGACGCUGAGGUGCGAGAGCGUGGGGAGCGAACCGG